CUCGAGUUGACCUGCAGCGGGAAGCUCAGUAACACGUGGCCAAGCUACCCUGUGGACGGGAAUACUCUCGGGAAACUGAGGCUAAUCCCCGAUAACGCUUUGCUCCUGGAAGGGGCAAAGCCGGAAACGCUCCGGCGCCACAGGAUGCGGCUGCGGUCGAUUAGGUAGACGGUGGGGUAACGGCCCACCGUGCCCAUAAUCGGUACGGGUUGUGAGAGCAAGAGCCCGGAGACGGAAUCUGAGACAAGAUUCCGGGCCCUACGGGGCGCAGCGGGCGCAAAACCUUUAACUGACGGGGAAGUGUGUGGAAAAAGA
rnacentral:rRNA from 1 species